GUUUAUUCGAUGCACGCGAAGAACCUUACCUGGUCUUGACAUCCACAGAACUUUCCAGAGAUGGAUUGGUGCCUUCGGGAACUGUGACACAGGUGCUGCAUGGCUGUCGUCAGCUCGUGUUGUGAAAUGUUGGGUUAAGUCCCGCAACGAGCGCAACCCUUGUCCUUUKUUCCCASCGGUUCGGCCGGGAACUCAAAGGAGACUGCCGUUGAUAAACGGGAGGAAGGUGGGGAUGACGUCAAGUCUUCAUGGCCCUUACGGCCAGGGUUACACACUUSUUACAAKGGUCGGUACAAAGAGAAUGCACCUCGCGAGAKCAAGCUAAUCCCAUAAGUCCGAUCUAUUCCGGAUGGGAUUUUGCAAUUGGAUUCCAUGAAUUGGGAAUCGUUGGUAAUCGUGAUUCAGAAUGCUACGGUGAAUACGUUCCCGGGCCUUGUACACACCGCCCGUCACACCAUGGGAGUGGUUGCACACAAGAAGCUAGGUAGCUAA
rnacentral:rRNA from 1 species